CUGACGAAAUGGUUUUCUUUUUCCCGUCUAGAAACACGGACCAAGGAGUCUAACAUAUGUGCGAGUACAGAGGUGGCAAACCUCCGUGCGCAAUGAAAGUGACAGUGGCUGGAAUUUUUGCACAGUCCGCCGGCCUCAAUCCCUCGGGAGAACGGUCUGAGUGUGAGCAUACAUGUUGGGACCCGAAAGAUGGUGAACUAUGCCU
rnacentral:rRNA from 18 species